rnacentral:rRNA from 1 species
UACAGAGGUCUCAACCGUUGUUCGGAUUCAUUGGGCGUAAAGGGCGCGUAGGCGGUCAGCACAAGUCAGUUGUGAAAUCUCCGGGCUUAACUCGGAAAGGUCAACUGAUACUGUGCGACUAGAGUGCGGAAGGGGCAACUGGAAUUCUCGGUGUAGCGGUGAAAUGCGUAGAUAUCGAGAGGAACACCUGCGGCGAAGGCGGGUUGCUGGGCCGACACUGACGCUGAUGCGCGAAAGCCAGGGGAGCGAACGGG